rnacentral:rRNA from 1 species
UACGGGGGGAGCAAGCGUUGUUCGGAUUUACUGGGCGUAAAGGGCGCGUAGGCGGCGUAACAAGUCACUUGUGAAAUCUCCGAGCUUAACCCGGAAAGGUCAACUGAUACUGUGCGACUAGAGUGCGGAAGGGGCAACUGGAAUUCUUGGUGUAGCGGUGAAAUGCGUAGAUAUCUGCAGGAACACCCGUGGCGAAAGCGGCGCGCUGGACCACUACUGACGCUGAGGAACGAAAGCUAGGGGAGCAAACAGG